rnacentral:rRNA from 1 species
UACGGGGGGGGCAAGCGUUGUUCGGAAUUACUGGGCGUAAAGGGCUCGUAGGCGGCCAACUAAGUCAUACGUGAAAUCCCUCGGCUUAACCGGGGAACUGCGUCUGAUACUGGAUGGCUUGAGAUUGGGAGAGGGAUGCGGAAUUCCAGGUGUAGUGGUGAAAUGCGUAGAUAUCUGGAGGAACACCGGUGGCGAAGGCGGCAUCCUGGACCAACACUGACGCUGAGGAGCGAAAGCCAGGGGAGCAGACGGG